CCAGAGCUGGCCGUGUUAGGCGAGGGGUGCGCUGGAUAGACGUCAACGUACGGGGUCAAUUGUUCAGGUGGGGAAAGUGGGAGUCGCUUGAGAGAGAAGAUUGGAAACACAGUGGAGUAAACGAGGAUCUGGAGUUCAGUGGAUAUAACUGAAACAUGAUAAUAUCUAUCAUAACUUAGAAGAAAAGACUUGUGUACAUGCAUAUGGUUAAGGUUAUCUAUAUUGUUAUGGGUGCUUCUUGGUAUACCAGGCCCUCAUCCACGAUUCUGCCAGUAUAAUUAUUAUCUGCUGAAUAAUUGUAUGUGCUUGUUAAUAAAUAAUAAUAAUUGUUUUCUGC